UACGUAGGGUGGCGAGCGUUGUCCGGAAUUACUGGGCGUAAAGAGCUCGUAGGCGGUGUGUCGCGUCGGCCGUGAAAACCUGCAGCUUAACUGUGGGCUUGCGGUCGAUACGGGCAUCACUGGAGUUCGGCAGGGGAGACUGGAAUUCCUGGUGGUAGCGGUGAAAUGCGCAGAUAUCAGGAGGAACACCGGUGGCGAAGGCGGGUCUCUGGGCCGAUACUGACGCUGAGGAGCGAAAGCGUGGGGAGCAAACAGG
rnacentral:rRNA from 1 species